rnacentral:rRNA from 1 species
GAGGGAUUAAAGGUCGAACAGACCUCCACAUUUUUCUCAAAAAAUUGGCCCCUCAAUUCAACAUCGAGGUCGUAAGUCUUUAGAUAACACUAAUAUUAUUAGCUAAAAUUACGCUGUUAUCCCUAAAGUAACUUUUAUUCUUUAAAAGAUAUAACCCCUCAUAAACUUUUGUUUUAUCUUUUAGAGUUUUAUAAUUACCGCCCCAGCUUAAUUAUAAAUAAAAAAUUAUACCUGAUUUUAAUUUUAUGUUAUAAUAAAGUUUUAUAGGGUCUUAUCGUCUUUCUAACCAAGCUAUACUUUUAAAUAUAGAUAUUAAAUUUUAAAAAUAAAUCCAAAAAGUUAAAAUGUUGUUAACUCUUUCAUCCCAGUUCUCUAUUAUAGAACAAAUGAUUAUGCUACCUUAGCACAGUUAAUAUUCCGCGGCUAUUUAUUCUUAUCACUGAGCAGAAUUUACUAGUUUAUAAACUAGAA